rnacentral:lncRNA from 10 species
CUGGAAAGGUGACGUGGUGGAGGUAUGAUAGCCAUCUCAGAGCAUCAUUCCAUCCUUGGGCCUGAAGGAUACAGGAGGCUUCAGGAUGCAAUAAAAGAUGGACUCCAUGCUCCCUUUGGCCAAUGGAAAGAGGCAGAAGUGAUGUUGCACACAUUCUCAAUCUGGGUCUAAGCUGCAUGACGAGACACAGAAUGCCUGGUCACCUCCAACACCCAGCCAAUGGCCAGUCAACCAACCCCCAGCCAUGUGAGUGAGGCCAUCUGAGACCAACCAUGCCAGCUGACCUCAGACAUAUGAGCAAGCCCAGCCAAAAUCAGCCAAGCCUGGCCAAGAUCGGCAGGACUUCCCAGCUGACUCUAGACACGGGAGCAAUAACAAAUGGUUGUUUCCAGCCACUAGGUCUGUGGGUGGUUUGUCCCCCUUCAGUGAUAUCCCUGCACUGUCUCAGCUGCCACUCCAUGACCCUUUUACCCAGAGCCACAACACCCCUGAAAUGGGUGACCUAACUACCUACUCUUGGACCUGAGCCCCUGGGACCUCCAGCCCCUCCAGCCCCUCCACCCUCUUAUUUUCACUGCACCUGUCCUUCGGUCUCCACAAAACCGCCAACUUUUUCUUCCCCUCUGAGUUUUCCCAGUCUGCCCUUCCAGGCUUUCCUUUCUUCCCAAUCCCACCUAGGUCCCAUGGUCUAUCCCAUCAUCCAUGCUUUGCCAGUGGCUUCCGUGCCUUUGUCCCUUGUCUUUCCAUCACACCCUUAGAAAAAAACCCACUCCUGGGUCACUCCAACAGUCCCCUUGUAUGCUGCAGCAUCCGUGCUGCUGAAGGAACUCACCCACCCACGAGUUCAUGCUUAUCAGUGGGGGUCCUCUGCCGCCCACCAGACCCUUCGAGUUUUCUUGUUACAUGGCCCUCUGAGACCUGUCCAGGCCCUCACCUCUCCUCCCUCCUUAGUGAAUGCCCUGCACAUCCCACAAGCAGGUGACCUCCCUUCCUACUUCACAGAGACACAAGGCCAUCGACAUCCUGCAGCCACCUGGAAAUGUGUCUGCCUCCCUAUACCCCUGUUUUCCUCCCACUUUCUACAAUCAGAAAGUCAUCCUUCUUUUUGCCCAAGACUUCCUCCUACCUGGACUUCCUACUUCGUAACAGUCAGGCUGCCAUGGUGGUUACUAGCACAGGAUUCAGUGUCAGAUGAUGUGGGUAGGUAGAAAGUCCUCUGCACACAUGACCUGGCCUUGCCACCAUGGAAGGGUGACCUGGAGAGCUGAGGACUGAAGGACCCAUUUCUCUUCUAGCAUAAGAUCUCCUCCUGUCUCUCUGUCUCUUUCUCUCUCUGUCUCACUUCUCUCUCUCCCUAUCUCCCUCAUCUGUAUGUCUCUGUAUGUGUCUCUCCCUCCAGAUGCUCAUCGUGUGUGUGUGUGUGCGCAUAUAUGUGUGUAGAGAAAGAGAAACACACACACACACACACACACAGAGUAGAGCGGAGCCCAGAGGGUGACAAGGGAUGAUCCUGGAGAGGUGGGGAGGAAACCCGCCAGGGUCUGGUGGGGAGCCUUGAAGGAUUUUAAGCCAGGGAAAGACAUGGUCCAAUUU